AUGGCGUGCUCAGGUUUUCCGCUUCUUCGCAGCCGUUACUUGGACGGGUUUGUUGAUGGCACUCUGUCGUGCCCACCUCCAUACCAUCCAGGGCAUCAUGCGUGGGCGGCUCAGGAUCAGGCUAUCUUCUUCGCCAUCCAGUCCUCUCUUACGGAGGGGGUCUCGUCACUGGUCAUCUUCGCCUCUACGUCUCGGGAUGCGUGGACGACUCUUCACACCAGUUUUGCCUCGCAGUCUCAGGCGCGGGCUCAUGCCAUUCGCACUGUGCUUGGGAAGGUGAAGCUUCAGGAUCUCACCGUCACCGACUACUUCAACAAAGUGACGGGUAUGGCUGACACACUUGCCUCCAUUGGCAAGGCGCUUGGUCCGGAGGAGUUCACUUCCUAUGUGCUCAACGGAGUGAGCGACGACUAUGAUAAUUUGGUGGAGAAUAUCAAUGGUUCCGUUGCGGGUAAUGGUCGCCCAAACCCGCACAUGUCUCAAUACUUUUUUUCCUAA
rnacentral:rRNA from 1 species